rnacentral:rRNA from 1 species
UACGGAGGGGGGCUAGCGUUGUUCGGAAUUACUGGGCGUAAAGCGCGCGUAGGCGGACCUGCAAGUCGGGGGGUGAAAGCCCGAGGCUCAACCUCGGAACUGCCUUCGAUACUGCGGGUCUCGAGUCCGGGGAGAGGUGAGUGGAACUGCGAGUGUAGAGGUGAAAUUCGUAGAUAUUCGCAAGAACACCGGUGGCGAAGGCGGCAUCCUGGGGCCGGUAUUGACGCUGAGGAGCGAAAGCCAGGGGGAGCAAACGGG